GGACUACUGGGGUUUCUAAUCCUGUUUGCUCCCCUAACUUUCGUGCCUCAGCGUCUCGGGUAGGCUAGAAAACCGCUUUCGCCACAGGUGUUCUUCCACGUAUCUACGCAUUUCACCGCUACUCGUGGAAUUCCAUUUUCUCCGCCAUCCGACAAGAAAUACAGUUUCACAUGCAGCUCCGAGGUUAAGCCCCGGAAUUUCACAUAUGACUUGUAUUCCCGCCUACGCACCCUUUACGCCCAGUAAUUCCGACUAACGCUUGCACCCUCCGUAUUACCGCGGCUGCUGGCAC
rnacentral:rRNA from 1 species